rnacentral:rRNA from 1 species
AUUCCAGCUCCAAUAGCGUAUAUUAAAGUUGUUGCAGUUAAAAAGCUCGUAGUUGGAUUUGUGGUGCGUCCCGGCGUCCAUUCAUUUGGUUCUGCCGUGGCCCUGCCAUCCUUGGGUGGAUUCUGUGUGGCAUUAGGUUGUCGUGCAGGGGAUGCCCAUCGUUUACUGUGAAAAAAUUAGAGUGUUCAAAGCAGGCUUAUGCCGUUGAAUAUAUUAGCAUGGAAUAAUAAGAUAGGUCUUUGGUCCUAUUUUGUUGGUUUGCGGGCCAGAGAAAUGAUUAACAGGGACAGUUGGGGGUAUUCGUAUUCCAUUGUCAGAGGUGAAAUUCUUGGAUUUCUGGAAGACGAACUACUGCGAAAGCAUUUACCAAGGAUGUUUUC